GCCGAAGUGGCGGAAUGGCAGACGCGCCGCACUCAAAAUGCGGUGGGCAUCGCCCGUGUGGGUUCGAGUCCCACCUUCGGUACCA
rnacentral:tRNA from 1 species